ensembl:snoRNA
UGGACCAGUGAUGAAGACUGGUGAUGUAGGAGUCAUGGACAAUGAGUGUGUGUCUGAAACUCUGAAGUCCAG